UUAAGCGACUAAGCGUACACGGUGGAUGCCCUGGCAGUCAGAGGCGAUGAAGGACGUGCUAAUCUGCGAAAAGCGUCGGUAAGGUGAUAUGAACCGUUACAGCCGGCGAUGUCCGAAUGGGGAAACCCAGUGCAAUUCGUUGCACUAUCGUUUGAUGAAUACAUAGUCAAACGAGGCGAACCGGGGGAACUGAAACAUCUAAGUACCCCGAGGAAAAGAAAUCAACCGAGAUUCCCCCAGUAGCGGCGAGCGAACGGGGAGCAGCCCGGAGUCUGAAUCAGCUUGUGUGUUAGUGGAAGCGUCUGGAAAGUCGCAGGGUACAGGGUGAUACUCCCGUACACUAAAACACACAGGUUGUGAACUCGAAGAGUAGGGCGGGACACGUGGUAUCCUGUCUGAAUAUGGGGGGACCAUCCUCCAAGGCUAAAUACUCCUGACUGACCGAUAGUGAACCAGUACCGUGAGGGAAAGGCGAAAAGAACCCCGGCGAGGGGAGUGAAAAAGAACCUGAAACCGUGUACGUACAAGCAGUAGGAGCCCACUUGUUGGGUGACUGCGUACCUUUUGUAUAAUGGGUCAGCGACUUAUAUUCUGUAGCAAGGUUAACCGUAUAGGGGAGCCGCAGGGAAACCGAGUCUUAACUGGGCGUUAAGUUGCAGGGUAUAGACCCGAAACCCGGUGAUCUAGCCAUGGGCAGGUUGAAGGUUGGGUAACACUAACUGGAGGACCGAACCGACUAAUGUUGAAAAAUUAGCGGAUGACUUGUGGCUGGGGGUGAAAGGCCAAUCAAACCGGGAGAUAGCUGGUUCUCCCCGAAAGCUAUUUAGGUAGCGCCUCGUGAACUCAUCUUCGGGGGUAGAGCACUGUUUCGGCUAGGGGGUCAUCCCGACUUACCAACCCGAUGCAAACUACGAAUACCGAAGAAUGUUAUCACGGGAGACACACGGCGGGUGCUAACGUCCGUCGUGAAGAGGGAAACAACCCAGACCGCCAGCUAAGGUCCCAAAGUCAUGGUUAAGUGGGAAACGAUGUGGGAAGGCCCAGACAGCCAGGAUGUUGGCUUAGAAGCAGCCAUCAUUUAAAGAAAGCGUAAUAGCUCACUGGUCGAGUCGGCCUGCGCGGAAGAUGUAACGGGGCUAAACCAUGCACCGAAGCUGCGGCAGCGACACUAUGUGUUGUUGGGUAGGGGAGCGUUCUGUAAGCCGUUGAAGGUGGCCUGUGAGGGUUGCUGGAGGUAUCAGAAGUGCGAAUGCUGACAUAAGUAACGAUAAUGCGGGUGAAAAACCCGCACGCCGGAAGACCAAGGGUUCCUGUCCAACGUUAAUCGGGGCAGGGUGAGUCGACCCCUAAGGCGAGGCCGAAAGGCGUAGUCGAUGGGAAACAGGUUAAUAUUCCUGUACUUGGUGUUACUGCGAAGGGGGGACGGAGAAGGCUAUGUUGGCCGGGCGACGGUUGUCCCGGUUUAAGCAUGUAGGCGGAUGUUCCAGGUAAAUCCGGUACGUUAUUAACGCUGAGGUGUGAUGACGAGGCACUACGGUGCUGAAGUGACAAAUGCCCUGCUUCCAGGAAAAGCCUCUAAGCAUCAGGUAACAUCAAAUCGUACCCCAAACCGACACAGGUGGUCAGGUAGAGAAUACCAAGGCGCUUGAGAGAACUCGGGUGAAGGAACUAGGCAAAAUGGUGCCGUAACUUCGGGAGAAGGCACGCUGAUAUGUAGGUGAAGUGGUUUACUCAUGGAGCUGAAAUCAGUCGAAGAUACCAGCUGGCUGCAACUGUUUAUUAAAAACACAGCACUGUGCAAACACGAAAGUGGACGUAUACGGUGUGACGCCUGCCCGGUGCCGGAAGGUUAAUUGAUGGGGUUAUCCGUAAGGAGAAGCUCUUGAUCGAAGCCCCGGUAAACGGCGGCCGUAACUAUAACGGUCCUAAGGUAGCGAAAUUCCUUGUCGGGUAAGUUCCGACCUGCACGAAUGGCGUAAUGAUGGCCAGGCUGUCUCCACCCGAGACUCAGUGAAAUUGAACUCGCUGUGAAGAUGCAGUGUACCCGCGGCAAGACGGAAAGACCCCGUGAACCUUUACUAUAGCUUGACACUGAACACUGGUCCUUGAUGUGUAGGAUAGGUGGGAGGCUUUGAAGUGUGGACGCCAGUCUGCAUGGAGCCAUCCUUGAAAUACCACCCUUUAAUGGCUGGUGUUCUAACGUGGGCCCGUAAUCCGGGUUGCGGACAGUGUCUGGUGGGUAGUUUGACUGGGGCGGUCUCCUCCUAAAGAGUAACGGAGGAGCACGAAGGUCAGCUAAUCCUGGUCGGACAUCAGGAGGUUAGUGCAAUGGCAUAAGCUGGCUUGACUGCGAGCGUGACGGCGCGAGCAGGUGCGAAAGCAGGUCAUAGUGAUCCGGUGGUUCUGAAUGGAAGGGCCAUCGCUCAACGGAUAAAAGGUACUCCGGGGAUAACAGGCUGAUACCGCCCAAGAGUUCAUAUCGACGGCGGUGUUUGGCACCUCGAUGUCGGCUCAUCACAUCCUGGGGCUGAAGUAGGUCCCAAGGGUAUGGCUGUUCGCCAUUUAAAGUGGUACGCGAGCUGGGUUUAGAACGUCGUGAGACAGUUCGGUCCCUAUCUGCCGUGGGCGCUGGAGAAUUGAGGGGGGCUGCUCCUAGUACGAGAGGACCGGAGUGGACGCAUCACUGGUGUUCGGGUUGUCAUGCCAAUGGCAUUGCCCGGUAGCUAAAUGCGGAAGAGAUAAGUGCUGAAAGCAUCUAAGUACGAAACUUGCCCCGAGAUGAGUUCUCCCUGACCCUUUAAGGGUCCUGAAGGAACGUUGAAGACGACGACGUUGAUAGGCCGGGUGUGUAAGCGCAGCGAUGCGUUGAGCUAACCGGUACUAAUGAACCGUGAGGCUUAACCUU
rnacentral:rRNA from 1 species